AAUCGAACCCGGAGAUAGCUGGUUCUCCUCGAAAUAGCUUUAGGGCUAGCCUCAUGGAUCAUUGGUGGGGGUAGAGCACUGAAUGUGCGCGGGGGCCACAAAGCCUACCAAACGCUAUCAAACUUCGAAUACCAUACAAUGCAGACCAUGGGAGUCAGUCCGCGAGAGAUAAGUUCCGCGGGCAAAAGGGGAACACCCCAGAUCAACCGCUAAGGUCCCCAAGUUCACGUUAAGUGGAGAAGGAUGUGGAAUUGCACAGACAACCAGGAUGUUGGCUCAGAAGCAGCCACACAUUUAAAGAGUGCGUAAUAGCUCACUGGUCGAGUGAUUGUGCGCCGAAGAUGUCCGGGGCUAAACGUGACACCGAAGCGAUGGGUGCAUCUGAAGAAGAUGCGCGGUAGAGGAGCAAUGUGCAGAGGCAGAAGCCGUAUCGAGAGGCACGGUGGACACUGCACAAGAGAGAAUGCCGGUAUGAGUAGCGAGAGGCAUGCGAGAAACAUGCCCGUCGAAAGCCCAAGGUUUCCUGGGGAAGGUUCAUCCGCCCAGGGUAAGUCGGGGCCUAAGCCGAGGACGGAAGUCGUAGGCGAUGGACAGCAGGUGUAGAUUCCUGCACUACCGAUGGAAUGAAGCAGUGACACAGAAGGAUAACUCGAGCAGGGUGAUGGUCAACCCUGUGCAAGCAUCGAGGUUGGGUUGUAGUGAAGUACGCAAUCCUAUAAGCUGAGGUGUGAUGCGGACCGAAAUUUCAGUAGGGAAGCGAGUGAGUUCACGCUGGCGAGAAAAGCUGCUAGUACAUCCAAAGGUACCCGUACCGGAAACCGACGCAGGUGGGCGAGGAGAGAAUCCUGAGACGAACGGGAGAACCCUUGUUAAGGAACUCGGCAAAAUGACCCCGUAACUUCGGGAUAAGGGGUGCCUGCGAGAGCAGGCCGCAGAGAAUAGUCACAAGCGACUGUUUAGCAAAAACACAGGUAUCUGCGAAAGCGAGAGCUGACGUAUAGGUGCUGACACCUGCCCGGUGCUGGAAGGUUAAGGGAACAUGUUAGAGCAAUCGAAGCAUCGAACCGAAGCCCCAGUAAACGGCGGCCGUAACUAUAACGGUCCUAAGGUAGCGAAAUUCCUUGUCGGGUAAGUUCCGACCCGCACGAAUGGUGUAACGACUUGUGAGCUGUCUCAACAGGGGGCCCGGUGAAAUUGAAGUAUGGGUGAAGAUGCCCAUUACCCGCGACUGGACGGAAAGACCCCGUAGAGCUUUACUGCAGCCUGAUAUUGAGUUUCGGUAACUGAUGCACAGGAUAGGUGGGAGUCUGAGAGACACGGGUUUCGGCUCGUGUGGAGACGAUGUUGGGAUACCACUCUUCGGUUACUGAAAUUCUAACAUAGCUCUGUGAAACCAGAGGAUGGACAGUGUCAGGUGGACAGUUUGACUGGGGCGGUCGCCUCCGAAAGAGUAACGGAGGCGCCCAAAGGUACCCUCAGAAUGGAUGGAAACCAUUCGAAGAGCGCAAAGGCAGAAGGGUGCCUGACUGCGAGAGUGACAACUCGAGCAGAGACGAAAGUCGGGCUUAGUGAUCCGGCGGUAUUGAGUGGAAAAGCCGUCGCUUAACGGAUAAAAGCUACCUCGGGGAUAACAGGCUGAUCUCCCCCAAGAGUCCACAUCGACGGGGAGGUUUGGCACCUCGAUGUCGGCUCAUCGCAUCCUGGGGCUGAAUUCGGUCCCAAGGGUUUGGCUGUUCGCCAAUUAAAGCGGCACGCGAGCUGGGUUCAGAACGUCGUGAGACAGUUCGGUCCCUAUCCAUCGUGGGCGUAGGAGUCAUGAGAGGAGCUGUUCCUAGUACGAGAGGACCGGAAUGGACGCACCACUGGUGCAACUGUUGUCGUGCCAACGGCAUAGCAGGGAAGCGAAGUGCGGAUGGGAUAAACGCUGAAGGCAUCUAAGCGUGAAGCCCACCUCAAGAAUAAGACUCCACAAUAGACCCCUGGAGGACUACCAGGUAGAUAGGUCAUCGGUGGAAGCGCUGUAAGGCGUGUAGCUUGAUGAUACUAAUCGGUCGAAAGCUUCAUUUA
rnacentral:rRNA from 1 species